rnacentral:rRNA from 1 species
UACGUAGGGAGCAAGCGUUGUCCGGAAUCAUUGGGCGUAAAGCGCGCGUAGGUGGCCUCAUAAGUCCGCUGUGAAAGUCAAAGGCUCAACCUUUGAAAGCCGGUGGAUACUGUGAGGCUAGAGUACGGAAGAGGCGAGUGGAAUUCCUGGUGUAGCGGUGGAAUGCGCAGAUAUCAGGAGGAACACCAAUAGCGAAGGCGGGUCUCUGGGCCGUAACUGACGCUGAGGAGCGAAAGCGUGGGGAGCGAACAGG